GACGAACGCUGGCGGCGUGCUUAACACAUGCAAGUCGAACGGAAAGGCCCUGCUUUUGUGGGGUGCUCGAGUGGCGAACGGGUGAGUAACACGUGAGUAACCUGCCCUUGACUUUGGGAUAACUUCAGGAAACUGGGGCUAAUACCGGAUAGGAGCUCCUGCUGCAUGGUGGGGGUUGGAAAGUUUCGGCGGUUGGGGAUGGACUUGCGGCUUAUCAGCUUGUUGGUGGGGUAGUGGCUUACCAAGGCUUUGACGGGUAGCCGGCCUGAGAGGGUGACCGGCCACAUUGGGACUGAGAUACGGCCCAGACUCCUACGGGAGGCAGCAGUGGUGAAUAUUGCACAAUGGGCGGAAGCCUGAUGCAGCAACGCCGCGUGCGGGAUGACGGCCUUCGGGUUGUAAACCGCUUUCGCCUGUGACGAAGCGUGAGUGACGGUAAUGGGUAAAGAAGCACCGGCUAACUACGUG
rnacentral:rRNA from 1 species